GCGCGCGGCAAACCGGCUAUGAGUACUGCCCUCCGAAGGCAGGGGUCGUGCGUUCGAAUCGCGCCGGGCGCGCCA
rnacentral:tRNA from 1 species